rnacentral:rRNA from 1 species
UACGUAGGGGCCGAGCGUUGUCCGGAGUUAUUGGGCGUAAAGCGCGCGCAGGCGGCCUCGCGCGCCCGACGUGAAAGCCCCCGGCUUAACCGGGGAGAGUCGUUGGGGACGGCGGGGCUUGAGGGCGGGAGAGGUCGGUGGAAUUCCCGGUGUAGUGGUGAAAUGCGUAGAUAUCGUGAGGAAGACCAGUGGCGAAGGCGGAUCUCUGGACAGUUCCUGACGCUGAGGCACGAAGGCCAGGGGAGCAAACGGG